GGAGGAGGAAGAGGAGGAGGUGGAGGAGGAGGAGGAAGAGGAGGAGGAGGAGGAGGUGAAGGAGGAGGAGGAGGAAGAGGAGGAAGAGGAGGAGGAGGUGGAGGAGGAGGAAGAGGAGGAGGAGGAGGUGAAGGAGGAGGAAGAGGUGAAGGAGGAGGAAGAGGAGGAAGAGGAGGAGGAGGAGGUGGAGGAGGAGGAAGAGGAGGAGGAGGAGGAAGAGGAGGAGGAAGAGGAAGAGGAGGAAGAGGAGGCUGAGGAGGAAGAGGAGGAGGUGGAGGAAGAGGAGGCUGAGGAGGAGAAAGAGGAGGAAGAGGAGGAGGAAGAGGAGGAAGAGGAGAAAAAGGAGGAAGAGGAGGAGGAAGAGGAAGAGGAGGAGGAGGAGGAGGUGGAGGAGGAGGAAGAGGAGGAGGAAGAGGAAGAGGAGGAAGAGGAAGCUGAGGAGGAAGAGGAAGAGGAGGAGGAAGAGGAAGAGGAGGAGG
rnacentral:lncRNA from 1 species